UGUUGGGGAUUUAUAACAAUGACACAUUUCUGUUCCCAAACAAAACGUUUCAAUACUGUUGGGGGUUUAUUAGGGAUUAGAGUUUGCGGCUCGUCGUCCAAAAAUCUGCCUGAAAUUCCAAACACGUGGUAAAGAAAACCCACGGCCGCCUUCUUAGUUUCGGCAGGGGGCGGGGUUUAAUUUAUACAUCCACGAGCCCGAAGGGUCGAGAUGAUUCUCGCUCCCUCCGAAUGGUUCCGAUCUCAGCCGAUCUCCUGCACCGGCGGUAGUGCUGCGUUUUAGCUGCGUGUCCUUCUCGCGUCCACACCGCCCGUCUCUGACACUAUUUCCAUCAUGGUGGACAUUUUGAUGUUGAUGUUUUUCGCCAUCAUUGGCCUCGUUUUCCUCUCCUACAUCAUCUACUUGCUGUGAUGAUGAUGAAGCGUCCUGCUCGGCCACACAAACGGUUGCAGCACAGUCAUUCAGAGGAUGUGUGUCUUUCCUAUCAUGCAUCCCUGGUUUCCAUCAUGGGCAAAUGGGAGAAGAGCCGGGUCCGGCCACGGUGGUUUCCCCAGUGGAGCUCUCCUGUAGGAGGGGCACAGCAAUGAGAUAAACAAAUGGACAAGAAGUGGAAGCCCUCGUUUCUCCUCCUUUUUUAUUAGGUCAGGAUCCUCCUACAAAACGUCACUACUCCCAAGACCUCCCACUUAUUUGCAAUCAGUCUGACCAAUGCAUUAUCUAUGCUACCCAAGGUUGUGCAUGUCUCUCUUUAAGAGGAGACGUGUCACCUCUGCACAAGUCCUCUACAUCCAUGGAUGCAGGACGGUUUUGUAGUGUUGAGCGUAAUACAGGUGUAGAGUUUGCCUUUCUAACAACACUGUGAGCUCAUUGUUGGCUCCAACUGUAAUGUGUUAUGUUCCGUUUGACCGUAUCAUCCUUUGUGGCCAACCCGUGUGUGCUCAUGUUCUGCCUUGGUUGAGUCAGCCUUCACAUCAGUGUUAUUAUAUUACUUUAUUCACGUGUUGCCAAUAUGUUCCUUUUCCUCACUACUAUCAAGAUUCUCUGUCAGGUUAAAGCCAAGGGGAAUAUGUUCAGUUAUAUGACUCAGUGUUCUGUACAUUAUGUGUUUGUCUGUUUUUGUUCAUCACGUUUGGCUGCAAAUGACAUCCACGGGGAGCAAUGAUGUCAUUUCAGAAAUACAUCAACCAUAUAGGCUCUUCUCAGUUUUAGCUCCAAACCUCAUAUUUAUAUAUAUAUAUGAUGUGUUAUGUUACUGAUAUUACGUUUACUGAUGCACUGAUGAUUUUUUGAGUUUAAUGACGAUAUUUCACAUGACUUGUCUAAUAAAGAUGAUUUCAGUAAACCCA